rnacentral:rRNA from 1 species
UACGGGGGGAGCAAGCGUUGUUCGGAUUUACUGGGCGUAAAGGGCGCGUAGGCGGUCAGCACAAGUCAGUUGUGAAAUCUCCGGGCUUAACUCGGAAAGGUCAACUGAUACUGUGCGACUAGAGUGCGGAAGGGGCAACUGGAAUUCUCGGUGUAGCGGUGAAAUGCGUAGAUAUCGAGAGGAACACCUGCGGCGAAGGCAGCUCGCUGGGACGUUACUGACGCUGAGACGCGAAAGCGUGGGGAGCAAACAGG